rnacentral:lncRNA from 1 species
AAGAAUUCCACGAAUUUCUUUUAACAAGGGUCCGAGAGUGAUACAUGAUCAACCCUCAAACAAGAUUUACCGAUUUCUCCAGCACACAUGGACACCAACGCUCUCACCACAAUUUUGUUUCUCAUCUUACUUUCAACUUCAUCCAUGCCAUCUGCAACAUCAAGAACACUUCCCGGGACACCAGGUGAGUUUUGUAGACCAUAAGUACCUUAAUAACAUUUGAGAUCCUGGUUUACUUGCUUAUGUAUGUUGUAAUCUGGUCUUAUGCAGAUGACUUCAGGGGCAGCGGUUCUAAUAUUCAUCCGAAGUUAAAGAUUUCCCGACCUGCCUACCAUUCACCACAUUCACCCGGCCGCAUCCACCCUCCUCCAUGCUGCAUUUGAUGAUUGAUUUCCCACAGGAGACGAUACUUCAGGAUUCGGGCUGGGAUGUUGGUUCUUUUUAUAAUAGUUUCUUGUAAGCCUAGAAGCGAAUAUGCAUGUAAAGUAUCAAAAUGAUAUGAAAUCAUGAAAAUUUGUUUUCAUAUGUCCUCGUUUCUUCACUCAAUGGAAAACUUCAAUAAUCAGUUUUCUGUUGUUUGUUUUGUGGUCCAUUUGGACAGUGC